CUACGGGUCGCAGCAGUGGGGAACAUUGCACAAUGGAGGAAACUCUGAUGCAGCAACGCCGCGUGGAGGAUGACACUUUUCGGAGCGUAAACUCCUUUUAUAUAGGAAGAAGAUGACGGUACUAUAUGAAUAAGCGCCGGCUAACUCCGUGCCAGCAGCCGCGGUAAUACGGAGGGCGCAAGCGUUACUCGGAAUCACUGGGCGUAAAGCGCGUGUAGGCGGAUUAAAAAGUCAGAGGUGAAAUCCUAUAGCUUAACUAUAGAACUGCUUCUGAAACUCUUAAUCUAGAAUAUGGGAGAGGUAGAUGGAAUUUCUGGUGUAGGGGUAAAAUCCGUAGAGAUCAGAAGGAAUACCGAUUGCGAAGGCGAUCUACUAGAACAUUAUUGACGCUGAGACGCGAAAGCGUGGGGAGCAAACAGGAUUAGAUACCCCUGUAGUC
rnacentral:rRNA from 1 species